GAUGAACGCUGGCGGCGUGCCUAAUACAUGCAAGUCGAGCGAACAGACGAGGGGCUUCUUCCUCUGACGUUAGCCGAGCACGGGUGAGUAACACGUGGGUAACCUCCCUAUAAGACGGGGAUAACUUCGGGAAACCGGAGCUAAUCCCGGAUAACAUAUUUAACCGCGUGGUUCUACAGUGCAAGUGGGUCUUGCUGUCACUUCUAGAUGGAUCCGCGCCGCAUUAGCUAGUUGGUCAGGUAACGGCUUACCAAGGCAACGAUGCGUAGCCGACGUGAGAGGGGGAUCGGCCACCCGGGAAGGGAGACAGGGUCCAUAGUCCUACGGGAGGCAGCAGUAGGGAAUCGUACGCAAUGGGCGAAAGCCUGACGGAGCAACGCCGCGUGAGUGAUGAAGGUCUUCGGAUCGUAAAACUCUGUUAUUAGGGAAGAACAAAUGUGUAAGUAACUAUGCACGUCUUGACGGUACCUAAUCAGAAAGCCACGGCUAACUACGUG
rnacentral:rRNA from 1 species